GCCUGGCUAGCUCAGUUAAUAGAGCAUGUGACUUGUAAUCACAGGGUCGUGAGCUCGAGCCCCAUGUUGGGCA